GGUGAAGUCUGAUGGGACCAUGGAGCCUCAGCUCAUAGUGAGCCAGAAUUAAUCAGGCCCCGGCUUACCUGAUACAGAGGAGACACACCUGUGUUCCUUUGGCACAGACAUUCUGGAGUCCCAGUGCCCAGGAAAGAAGACGGGAGGCAGUAGCAGAGCCUGGGAGAGAUGGCCUGAGGAUGUUGUGAUGGAAGACUGUAUAUGAUCAUAUGCACUGCUGUCCAGUCUGCAGAGCCAUGUGGGGGCAAGAAGCAGAGGCAAGGAGCUGCCUGCAUGUGGGCUCUGCUUCUCUAUCCCUCACUCCGUCUCCUCCGCUGC